GGUUGAUCCUGCCAGUAGUCAUAUGCUUGUCUCAAAGAUUAAGCCAUGCAUGUCUCAGUACAAGCCAAAUUAAGGUGAAACCGCGAAAGGCUCAUUAAAUCAGUUAUGGUUCCUUAGAUCGUACCCACAAUUACUUGGAUAACUGUGGUAAUUCUAGAGCUAAUACAUGCAAACAGAGCUCCGACCGGAGACGGGAGGAGUGCUUUUAUUAGAUCAAAACCAAUCGGUGUCGGGUUCGCUCGUCAUCGUACAACUUGGUGACUCUGAAUAACUUUACGCUGAUCGCACGGUCAUCGCACCGGCGACGCAUCUUUCAAAUGUCUGCCUUAUCAACUGUCGAUGGUAGGUUCUGCGCCUACCAUGGUUGUAACGGGUAACGGGGAAUCAGGGUUCGAUUCCGGAGAGGGAGCCUGAGAAACGGCUACCACAUCCAAGGAAGGCAGCAGGCGCGCAAAUUACCCACUCCCGGCACGGGGAGGUAGUGACGAAAAAUAACGAUACGGGACUCAUCCGAGGCCCCGUAAUCGGAAUGAGUACACUCUAAACCCUUUAACGAGGAUCAAUUGGAGGGCAAGUCUGGUGCCAGCAGCCGCGGUAAUUCCAGCUCCAAUAGCGUAUAUUAAAGUU
rnacentral:rRNA from 1 species